rnacentral:rRNA from 1 species
AUACGUAGGGGGCGAGCGUUGUCCGGAAUGAUUGGGCGUAAAGGGCGCGUAGGCGGCCCGGUAAGUCUGGAGUGAAAGUCCUGUUUUUAAGAUGGGAAUUGCUUUGGAUACUGCCGCGCUUGAGUGCAGGAGAGGUUAUCGGAAUUCCCGGUGUAGCGGUGAAAUGCGUAGAGAUCGGGAGGAACACCAGUGGCGAAGGCGGGUAACUGGACUGCAACUGACGCUGAGGCGCGAAAGUGUGGGGAGCAAACAGGAUUAGAUACCCUGGUAGUCCACACUGUAAACGAUGAAUGCUAGGUGUAAGAGGUAUCGACCCCUUUUGUGCCGGAGUCAACACAAUAAGCAUUCCGCCUGGGGAGUACGGCCGCAAGGUUGAAACUCAAAGGAAUUGACG